AUUUACAUUUGAGUGAGUGGCGAACUGGUGAGUAACACGUGGGAAACCUGCCCAGAAGCGGGGGAUAACACCUGGAAACAGAUGCUAAUACCGCAUAACAACUUGGACCGCAUGGUCCGAGCUUGAAAGAUGGCUUCGGCUAUCACUUUUGGAUGGUCCCGCGGCGUAUUAGCUAGAUGGUGGGGUAACGGCUCACCAUGGCAAUGAUACGUAGCCGACCUGAGAGGGUAAUCGGCCACAUUGGGACUGAGACACGGCCCAAACUCCUACGGGAGGCAGCAGUAGGGAAUCUUCCACAAUGGACGAAAGUCUGAUGGAGCAACGCCGCGUGAGUGAAGAAGGGUUUCGGCUCGUAAAACUCUGUUGUUAAAGAAGAACAUAUCUGAGAGUAACUGUUCAGGUAUUGACGGUAUUUAACCAGAAAGCCACGGCUAACUACGUGCCAGCAGCCGCGGUAAUACGUAGGUGGCAAGCGUUGUCCGGAUUUAUUGGGCGUAAAGCGAGCGCAGGCGGUUUUUUAAGUCUGAUGUGAAAGCCUUCGGCUCAACCGAAGAAGUGCAUCGGAAACUGGGAAACUUGAGUGCAGAAGAGGACAGUGGAACUCCAUGUGUAGCGGUGAAAUGCGUAGAUAUAUGGAAGAACACCAGUGGCGAAGGCGGCUGUCUGGUCUGUAACUGACGCUGAGGCUCGAAAGUAUGGGUAGCAAACAGGAUUAGAUACCCUGGUAGUCCCAUACCCGUAAACGAUGAAUGCU
rnacentral:rRNA from 1 species